rnacentral:rRNA from 1 species
UACAGAGGUCUCAAGCGUUUGUUCGGAUUCAUUGGGCGUAAAGGGUGCGUAGGCGGCGCGGUAAGUCGGGUGUGAAAUCUUGGAGCUUAACUCCGAAACUGCAUUCGAUACUGCCGUGCUUGAGGACUGGAGAGGAGACUGGAAUUUACGGUGUAGCGGUGAAAUGCGUAGAGAUCAUGAGGAAGACCAGUGGCGAAGGCGGGUCUCUGGACAGUUCCUGACACUGAGGCACGAAGGCCCAGGGGAGCAAACGGG